rnacentral:lncRNA from 1 species
GAAAGGACGUGGUCGACUCCCAGUCAGUACCACCGGGGGUGACGCCGUCUCUGGUCUGCUGCAGGAACACUGGUCCAGUGCUCCCCGGCGGGUAACGGUGGCUGAUUAAGGAUCCUCUCCAAGCACGCUCACCUGCUUCUCUUCUCGCUGACACACGGGCUUCUGACAACUUUUCCAAUUGCACAAGGUCAUUUUUGAGGCUUCAUUCCCUCCCCCACGAAACUGAUCUCUGCUCAGAGCCCUGGAAAGCAAGUCUCAGUGGAAAGCCAAGUGGGCCGCAGACAGCAGACACAGUUCCUCAGCCUGGUCAGUUGCUCCUGAGAUGGUGGGUGAGUCAGAACGUGUGUCUCUAUUUGUCAAGUGGUGGUUAAGCCAGGCAUUAUCUGAGGUGCCUCACAGAGUUAAUAUUCUUUGCUUUGAACUUGCCGCCAAAUAGUUCAUAGG